GUAGGGAAUAUUGGGCAAUGGUCGGAAGACUGACCCAGCCAUGCCGCGUGCAGGAAGACGGCCCUCUGGGUUGUAAACUGCUUUUAUCUGGGAAGAAAAAGGCCAUGCGUGGCAAAUUGCCGGUACCAGAUGAAUAAGCACCGGCUAACUCCGUGCCAGCAGCCGCGGUAAUACGGAGGGUGCGAGCGUUGUCCGGAUUUAUUGGGUUUAAAGGGUGCGUAGGCGGCUGAGUAAGUCAGCGGUGAAAGACUUCGGCUUAACCGGAGCAGUGCCGUUGAUACUGGUUGGCUUGAGUGUCGGAGGGGUACAUGGAAUUGAUGGUGUAGCGGUGAAAUGCAUAGAUACCAUCAGGAACACCGAUAGCGAAGGCAUUGUACUGGCCGACAACUGACGCUGAUGCACGAAAGUGUGGGGAUCGAACAGGAUUAGAAACCCCUGUAGUCC
rnacentral:rRNA from 1 species